rnacentral:lncRNA from 1 species
GCAGACAGCUCAUAGGGCAACCGGCGAUUGCCACCAACCUUGAGGACUUGGGUUCGAUUCCCUGGGAACCACGUGGAGCUGGGAGUGCGGACAUACAUGUCAACUACCUGGAAAUUAUCAAUGACUGCACGUGCCCAGCUCUUCUGGACCCUCUGAUGUUCUGUCACAUGGGAGCAAAUGGAGAGCUGGGACAUCCUUUGACCUCAGCCCUCAAAGGUUAGGAAGCGGGCCCCUCCUCCCUCCAAGAAUUCCUUUUCUCCAAGGGUGAUUAACUACCUCAGCCAUCCUUCCAGGAGGGCCAAAAAAGCUGUUUUGAAUCUGUACCGGCUCAGAAUAAUCAGUUCCUGGUAUUUCCGGCUUUGUGUGAAGCAGGAUUUCCUGUUUCAAGGCGGGCUGGCUCCCCUGUCCUGAUAUUAGGGAGUCUAUGUAAUAGAUUACUAAUCCAUACUGUUUUUGUUUUUCUAUUCAGGAUAAUUAACUUCUUGCUCAAUCCCUCAGCAUUUGACCAAAAUACCAAGAUAAAAAUGUAGGCCCGUGUUAGUACAAAAGGUCCUGCAUUCAACUGUCCUCCUUAUAUUGCCCAAGAAGUCUUGUGGAAUUCCAAGAAGAAUUCAAGGGGCCAGACCUGGAAUAUGCAUCAAUGAGAAUAAGACACUGACGAAGCUAACGACACUAACGGGGAAUGAGGAUAAUCGACUCCUGUCCUUUGUUUUACUCUUUAACCUAGUAAUAAAUCCCUUUAAAGGCCCGUGGUAUUCGGAGCAUCCCGUGUGUGAAGUGCUCUCGCAGUUGUGGCCGGAAUGUGAGACCUAUAGGCUAAAGAUGUCAGGCUGAAUCUCAGGCAAGGGGUGUGCUGAAAGGAUCGGAGGAAGGGCGAGGGGAGCCCAGCCGAGAUAAUGAGGGCCAGCAAGAUGGAUUAGUGAAUAAAGGUGUUUGGGUUUUU